rnacentral:tRNA from 1 species
GGGGUUCCUGGCGGACGGGGUGCGCGCAGGGGCGGUCGCGGUGCCCGUCGGGGAGACGCGGUUCGGGUUCGUGGACGCCG